GUGUUGUAUGAAAGGAGAGACGGUUAGCACUCCCCUAGACAAGGAUGGAAUUAUAACACAAAUAUGGUUAAGGCACCUUAACCACAUUUUUUU